rnacentral:rRNA from 1 species
GAUGAACGCUGGCGGCGUGCCUAAUACAUGCAAGUCGAGCGAACAGACGAGGAGCUUGCUCCUCUGACGUUAUCGGCGGACGGGUGAGUAACACGUGGAUAACCUACCUAUAAGACUGGGAUAACUUCGGGAAACCGGAGCUAAUACCGGAUAAUAUAUUGAACCGCAUGGUUCAAUAGUGAAAGACGGUUUUGCUGUCACUUAUAGAUGGAUCCGCGCCGCAUUAGCUAGUUGGUAAGGUAACGGCUUACCAAGGCAACGAUGCGUAGCCGACCUGAGAGGGUGAUCGGCCACACUGGAACUGAGACACGGUCCAGACUCCUACGGGAGGCAGCAGUAGGGAAUCUUCCGCAAUGGGCGAAAGCCUGACGGAGCAACGCCGCGUGAGUGAUGAAGGUCUUCGGAUCGUAAAACUCUGUUAGUAGGGAAGAACAAAUGUGUAAGUAACUAUGCACGUCUUGACGGUACCUAAUCAGAAAGCCACGGCUAACUACGUG